rnacentral:rRNA from 1 species
GCAUGCCUUAUUUUGCAAGUCGAACGCAGCACGGGAGCAAUCCUGGUGGCGAGUGGCGUACGGGUGAGUAAUAUAUCGGAACGUGCCCAGUCGUGGGGGAUAACGCAGCGAAAGCUGUGCUAAUACCGCAUACGAUCUACGGAUGAAAGCGGGGGAUCGCAAGACCUCGCGCGAUUGGAGCGGCCGAUAUCAGAUUAGCUAGUUGGUGGGGUAAAAGCCCACCAAGGCGACGAUCUGUAGCUGGUCUGAGAGGACGACCAGCCACACUGGAACUGAGACACGGUCCAGACUCCUACGGGAGGCAGCAGUGGGGAAUUUUGGACAAUGGGCGCAAGCCUGAUCCAGCAAUGCCGCGUGCAGGAUGAAGGUCUUCGGGUUGUAAACUGCUUUUGUACGGAGCGAAACGGCUCUCUUUAAUACAGGGGGCUAAUGACGGUACCGUAAGAAUAAGCACCGGCUAACUACGUGCCAGCAGCCGCGGUAAUACGUAGGGUGCGAGCGUUAAUCGGAAUUACUGGGCGUAAAGCGUGCGCAGGCGGUUUUGUAAGACAGAUGUGAAAUCCCCGGGCUCA